UACGUAUGGAGCAAGCGUUAUCCGGAUUUACUGGGUGUAAAGGGAGCGUAGGCGGUGCUAUAAGUCUGAUGUGAAAGCCCGGGGCUCAACCGCGGGACUGCAUUGGAAACUGUAGGACUGGAGUGUCGGAGGGGUAAGUGGAAUUCCUAGUGUAGCGGUUAAAUGCGUAGAUAUUAGGAGGAACACCAGAGGCGAAGGCGGCUUACUGGACUGACACUGACACUGAGGCACGAAAGCGUGGGGAGCAAACAGG
rnacentral:rRNA from 1 species